UUUAAUACCUGGCAGGGGAAACACCAUGAUCACGAUGAUGUUUCCCAGGGCGAGGCUUAUCCAUUGCGCUCCAGAUGGGCUGACCCCUGUGUUUUCCCCAAAUGUGAGAACUCUGACUGCAUAAUUUGUGGGAGUGGGGGACUGCAUUCAUGCUCAUCCCCU